UCAAACUUAAUACUAUAAAGACCAUAUUAGAAAUCUGAAGCAUGACAAAAAUGUAACUCUCUGGCCUCAACUGACUAGUGGACCUACCAGACACCUACCGGACUGCAACAAGUGGGCACACUGCUUUUGACUCUCCUCUAGACUUCUUGUCAACCUAUUAAUGAUCUCAGUCUUUUCUAACUUGAUUGCUUCUUGAUUCCUUUCCAGUUGUUUCACGUGAUCUUUCAGACGAGAGCAAAUGUCUUCCUAAAUAGAAAAAAAGUUCAGGAAGUCAUUUUCAUAAAGAGUUUUAAUAAAGAGUAAGCUAAAAAUUAUGAUACAUAAUUAGAUUUGAUGUCAAACACAAGAUCAUCACAUGGGAGCAUCACCUCUUUUACAAGUCAACAGAGAAUGGAGACCCCCAACCCAAUAAGGAAAAGCCACCAGGAUCCACUCUUCUCCAGUCAUCCAAGAAGGGCUACUGUCCAAGUCCAACUAACUUCAAUGUUACCCUGUGUUUGGCCAAAACUAACUUUAAAAUAAAAUAAAUAAAAUAAAAAUUU
rnacentral:lncRNA from 1 species